rnacentral:rRNA from 1 species
CCUACGGUGGCUGCAGUGGGGAAUAUUGGACAAUGGGCGAAAGCCUGAUCCAGCCAUGCCGCGUGUGUGGAGAAGGCCUUCGGGUUGUAAAGCACUUUCAGUGGGGAAGAAAGCCUUGGGGCUAAUACCCUCGAGGAAGGACAUCACCCACAGAAGAAGCACCGGCUAACUCCGUGCCAGCAGCCGCGGUAAUACGGAGGGUGCGAGCGUUAAUCGGAAUUACUGGGCGUAAAGCGCGCGUAGGCGGUCUGAUAAGCCGGUUGUGAAAGCCCCGGGCUCAACCUGGGAACGGCAUCCGGAACUGUCAGGCUAGAGUGCAGGAGAGGAAGGUAGAAUUCCCGGUGUAGCAGUGAAAUGCGUAGAGAUCGGGAGGAAUACCAGUGGCGAAGGCGGCCUUCUGGACUGACACUGACGCUGAGGUGCGAAAGCGUGGGUAGCAAACAGGAUUAGAUACCCCGGUAGUC